AUACGAAGGGGGCUAGCGUUGUUUGGAAUUACUGGGCGUAAAGCGCAUGUAGGCGGACAUUUAAGUCAGGGGUGAAAUCCCGGGGCUCAACCUCGGAACUGCCUUUGAUACUGGGUGUCUAGAGUGCGGGAGAGGAAAGUGGAAUUCCUAGUGUAGCGGUGAAAUGCGUAGAGAUUAGGAAGAACACCAGUGGCGAAGGCGGCUUACUGGUCCAUUACUGACGCUGAGGUGCGAAAGCGUGGGGAGC
rnacentral:rRNA from 1 species